rnacentral:rRNA from 1 species
GGAAACGCCCGGUCACAUUCCGAACCCGGAAGCUAAGACUCUUUGCGCCGAUGGUACUGCAGGGGGGACCCUGUGGGAGAGUAGGACACCGCCGGAC